rnacentral:rRNA from 1 species
GAUGAACGCCGGCGGCGUGCUUAACACAUGCAAGUCGAACGGGAUCCAGGCAGCUUGCUGCCUGGUGAGAGUGGCGAACGGGUGAGUAAUGCGUGACCGACCUGCCCCAUACACCGGAAUAGCUCCUGGAAACGGGUGGUAAUGCCGGAUGCUCCGACUCCUCGCAUGGGGUGUCGGGAAAGAUUUCAUCGGUAUGGGAUGGGGUCGCGUCCUAUCAGGUAGUCGGCGGGGUAACGGCCCACCGAGCCUACGACGGGUAGCCGGCCUGAGAGGGCGACCGGCCACAUUGGGACUGAGAUACGGCCCAGACUCCUACGGGAGGCAGCAGUGGGGAAUAUUGCACAAUGGGCGCAAGCCUGAUGCAGCGACGCCGCGUGCGGGAUGACGGCCUUCGGGUUGUAAACCGCUUUUGAUCGGGAGCAAGCCU